GAUGAACGCUGGCGGCGUGCCUAAUACAUGCAAGUCGAGCGAACGGACGAGAAGCUUGCUUCUCUGAUGUUAGCGGCGGACGGGUGAGUAACACGUGGAUAACCUACCUAUAAGACUGGGAUAACUUCGGGAAACCGGAGCUAAUACCGGAUAAUAUUUUGAACCGCAUGGUUCAAAAGUGAAAGACGGUCUUGCUGUCACUUAUAGAUGGAUCCGCGCUGCAUUAGCUAUUUGGUAAGGUAACGGCUUACCAAGGCAACGAUGCAUAGCCGACCUGAGAGGGUGAUCGGCCACACUGGACCUGAGCCACGGUCCAGACUCCUACGGGAGGCAGCAGUAGGGAAUCUUCCGCAUUGGGCGAAAGCCUGACGGAGCAACGCCGCGUGAGUGAUGAAGGUCUUCGGAUCGUAAAACUCUGUUAUUAGGGAAGAACAUAUGUGUAAGUAACUGUGCACAUCUUGACGGUACCUAAUCAGAAAGCCACGGCUAACUACGUG
rnacentral:rRNA from 1 species